GCUUACAAUCCGGUUCAACUCCAUCAAAAAUUGGAGAACUUUCACUGCCUCCACCUUCUCCUCCAAUUUUCAAAGUUAAUUUUCAAAUCUCCCAUACGCAUUUCAAUUUGUAAGCCUGUGAUAGCUAAAGACGUCGACGCUUUAAUUCUCCAUGAGAUUUCGAACGAAAAGUCUUCAAUUGACGCCCUAAGAGUGGAACGAGAUGAAAUAAAUGGUUUUCAAAUAACCACUUCUAUAUUCCUUACUCUGCAUUGCCGUCGCCAGACAAAUUCAGAAUAUAGGCCAACGAACCCUUGGCGGUAUAUAGGGAUUUUAAAUAGCGUAUUUACAAUGAAAUCCGAAAGACCAUUCAGCUUAAAGUCCUCAAUCGAACCAGUAAAGCUACAAACAAUUAAAGGAUUACAUACAUUACAUGAACAGAAAAAAUGUUCGGACUUACUCGACAAGGCCCAAAUUCGGUAUCGGAUGGCACAUUCGCAUACGAAACUCCUCUAGAAAUACCUGAAUUGUUUCCUCAUAGACGCACGC